rnacentral:hammerhead_ribozyme from 1 species
ACCCAGCUGAUGAGUACCAAAUAGGACGAAACGUACGUCCUGAAU